AAAUUUUAUCCUUGCUUCCCAAGUACACUAGGUCAUGAUUAACCCUCGAGAUAGUUGCCGUAUUUGUACCAUCAUAUGAUCAAGUAAUCAUAUUCUAGAUCCAAAUUUGAACAAAGCCAAUUCUAGUUUCUCUUGACAAUUCCAUUAUACAAGUUGAUAUUUAUUCUAAACUUCGAUAAUUAAAAGAUUCUAGAUUAACUUACUCAGGAGCUUACUCAAUCAUCCCGAAUCUUUUCUUUUAGGCUAAACUUAUUUGAGCCUCUCAUGAUAUCCCACUUGCAUUUCACAUAUGAUGAUACAAAAUCCAUAAUCAACUCAUGGCCUUGAUUUAUAAAUAUUAAACUCAAAAGAAUCUAAUAAUCUAGUUUAAAGAUUUACAAGAAAUUCUACUAAGAUAUAAGCUCUAUGAUUUUACAUUGAGAUCAACUCCUCAAAUAAGUAAAAUAUUUUUAUUUGUAAUACUGCAAACAUUUCGGGAUCUUGUAAAUCUACUGGACUUAGAGAAUUUACUAAUAACACAAUGAUAUCCAUAUCGAUCAAAAUAAAAAAUACUAUACUUUCCAAUGAUUUUUUUUUUUUGCAUAAUAGAUAGAAGUACCUACACUAAUGACACCAUGAUAUCCAUAUCAGUCAAAAUCAAAAACACUAUUCUUUUCUUUGACAUUGAAAUUCUUCUUAAAAAAGAAAAACCAUCAGAAACUAUUUCCAAAUCACAAAGUUAAUAUCGCUGACCAGCUUAAAAUAAUUUAAACAAUCAAUAUUCUCAUAAUUUACUAAAUCACUUUCAAUUAAAAUACCAAUCUGUAUUGUAAUUUGAAAAGAUCUAAAAUCUCAAAUUCUAGGUAAAGCCAAAAGAAAAUUCUAGAAUUUCAUCCCAAAUAUGUUUUCUAUCUACACAAGAGUUUCAUACAUGAUCCACAUACAAAAUUUCAAUCCUCGAAGAAUAUUUCAAUGAAUAUUAUAAAAUAUUUUCUAGUCCAAACUUUAAACAACCUUUUAUAAAUGAACCUUAACUUGCCACCAAAAUAAUUAACUUGAACUAGAGGCAAUAUCCACAGUGCCUGAUAUCAAGUUA
rnacentral:lncRNA from 1 species